CGCAGGCUGAAACUCGCCUGCGUGAAGUUGGAAUUGCUAGUAAUCGCGGAUCAGCAUGCCGCGGUGAAUACGUUCCCGGGCCUUGUACACACCGCCCGUCACACCAUGGGAGCCGGUAAUACCCGAAGCCAGUAGUCUAACCGCAAGGGGGACGCUGUCGAAGGUAGGAUUGGCGACUGGGGUGAAGUCGUAACAAGGUAUC
rnacentral:rRNA from 1 species